CCUACGGGAGGCAGCAGUCGAGAAUCAUUCACAAUGGGGGAAACCCUGAUGGUGCGACGCCGCGUGGGGGAAUGAAGGUCUUCGGAUUGUAAACCCCUGUCAUGUGGGAGAAAAUUAAAAAGAUAGUACCACAAGAGGAAGAGGCGGCUAACUCUGUGCCAGCAGCCGAGGUAAUACAGAGGUCUCAAGCGUUGUUCGGAUUCACUGGGCGUAAAGCGUGCGUAGGCUGUUUCGUAAGGCGUGUGUGAAAGGCGCGGGCUCAACCCGCGGACGGCACAUGAUACUGCGAGACUAGAGUAAUGGAGGGGGAACCGGAAUUCUCGGUGUAGCAGUGAAAUGCGUAGAUAUCGAGAGGAACACUCGUGGCGAAGGCGGGUUCCUGGACAUUAACUGACGCUGAGGCACGAAGGCCAGGGGAGCGAAAGGGAUUAGAUACCCUUGUAGUC
rnacentral:rRNA from 1 species